rnacentral:rRNA from 1 species
GACAGAGGGUGCAAACGUUGUUCGGAGUUACUGGGCGUAAAGCGCGUGUAGGCGGCCCUGCAAGUCGGAUGUGAAAUCCCACGGCCCAACCGUGGAAGUGCAUUCGAAACUGCAGGGCUAGAGUCCUGGAGAGGAAGGUGGAAUGCUUGGUGUAGAGGUGAAAUUCGUAGAUAUCAAGCGGAACACCGGUGGCGAAGGCGGCCUUCUGGACAGUGACUGACGCUGAGACGCGAAAGCGUGGGGAGCAAACAGG